rnacentral:RNase_P_RNA from 2 species
GGUAGUCCCAGGAUGGCCGUCGCCAGAAAUGGUGAGGAAAGUCCUCCCUCCGGGUAGCAAUCUGGAUAAAACCCUGGUCGAGAGACCUGCUUCUCCUCAAAAGAAAUGACACAGUUUCGGUGAAGAGUGAACCUUCUGAAGGGGACGUUCCCGAAAAUGUGAUGAGACAGAGGAGGAGGGAUCGGAGCAAACUCAAGCGGUUCCUAUGACAGCUAUCAGAGGAACGGGUAGAGCGCACUAGUCAAAUGCCAUCAACCCGAAAGGGCUAACAGAAGGAGGCUUACUCGGGACAACC